rnacentral:snRNA from 1 species
GUGCUCACUUGGGCAGCACAUAUACUAAAAUUGGAAUGAUACAGAGAAGAUUAGCAUGGUCCCUGCAUAAGGAAGACACGCAAAUUCAGGAAGUGAUCCACAUUUAA